rnacentral:rRNA from 1 species
CAGCAGCCGCCGCGGUAAUACAGAGGAUUUAAGCGUUAUCCGGAAUGAUUGGGCGUAAAGCGUCUGUGGGUGGCUUUUCAAGUCCGCCGUCAAAUCCCAGGGCUCAACCCUGGACAGGCGGUGGAAACUACCAAGCUGGAGUACGGUAGGGGCAGAGGGAAUUUCCGGUGGAGCGGUGAAAUGCGUAGAUAUAUGGAGGAACACCAGUGGCGAAGGCGGCUCUCUGGUCUGUAACUGACGCUGAGGCUCGAAAGCGUGGGGAGCAAACAGGAUUAGAUACCCCUGUAGUCCCUGUCUCUUAUAC